UGCCUGUGAAGUGCAUGGAGCAUGCCAACCUACUCAGGUUUAUUCCCAACUCAGUAUUGCUGAUUUCAGAGAUUGCAUUUUGUCUGUUGCUGUGCCAAACACAUGGAGAGGAGAAAACUGAAUCUGCCAGGGGACAAUUGGAUAAAUGAAAGCCUCAGCAAUGAUGGGGACAAAGAAAAACCAACAGGAGCCAUCAGUGUUACAAGAUUGCACCAUCUUCCAAACUGCUCUGAAAAUGAAGAAUUUCCUGGAAUGAAAGUGAAGAAUUAAUCCAGGCAGUCAUAAGGUAUGCUGACAUUAAGAAAAAUCUUAUUUGUUGACCUUAUUUUUUAAAAACUAAAUGAGUACCAGUUUUUCUUGUGAAAAGAAGAGCUGGAUACUGUGACUCUCUAAAAGACACUGAGGCCUAUACAUAUUUCUUCAUUCCUCUAGAUGGAUGUACAAAGCUAAGAUAACAGAUUUCUUCAUCUCAAAGCUCAUCAUUGGCCCAGCUUCUCUUUUGAAUAUUACUGUGUUUCAGAGAUGAUACUUAGCAAAAAUUAUUAUGAGUAAUAUUUUCUAAUAUCAUUAGGGAAUGCAAUACGG
rnacentral:lncRNA from 1 species